AUUUCCAAGUAGGCCAGUAUGAACCUUGAGCAAUUCCUCCAUAUCAAAUUGACUUAUAAACUGGUACAGAUAAUGGCAUCAUGUUCUACAAACCUCUUUCUGAAUAGGCUAGUCCUGCUUAAGUUGGUUGGGGUUCUUGCAGUGCUUUCUCUUACCUGAGGGUACGCCUGAUCUCUUUUAACAAUUACUUGCGAGGUAACAGUUUGACAAACCCCUGCUGUAUCCCCUGGAACCUUUAAUUUGUGAAUCCAAUCUUAGAAACCAUUUCCUGUUAUCAGAAUCCAGUUUGGAACAGGAUUAGGUUACUGAAUCUCCUUUGAUUUGUUUGGGCAGCUGGCAUUUGUACUAGCAGACCAAGAAAAGAGACAGGCCAGCUCCUUGUUUUUAUUUCAUUCUUUUGUUUACUUGCUCUUUUAUUUUACCUCAAUUUGUUCUUUUGGUUUGAUACUUGAAUGGUGAUACAGAUAAUGCCCUGGACUGAAACUCAGAUGCACUUUAUAGAUCACACCACUCUUCGCCAACCUGGUGCCCUCCAGAGGUUUUGGACUGCAACUCCUCAGUUGCCAUCACAAACCUCUGGAGGGCACUAAGUUGGCAAGGACUGCAUUACAUCUAUACAGCAAAUUUAAACCGGUUGCAAACCAGCUUAAUUGCUGGAAAUUUUCAAAGAACCUCAAGAAUUGCAAUUUUUGCAAAGGUGCUGAGAACUCUCUUAAAGGCCUUUCCCCCAGGAUUUCAUGUGGGACAAAGCCAUGAUGAUAACCCGGUUUAAAUUUGUAGAGUAGAUAGUUUCUAAUAUUUGUAUACUAGUCAGCAGAUGCCAUCCUUGCUUCAGUCAAACAAACGGCCAACGUAUUUCUUUGUUGGUUUCCGUGACUUGGAGGAGUUGAUCUAGCGGAUGCUAACAUUUCACAGUUCUUGGGAACGAUUUGUGCUCUGAUUUUUACUAUUCCUUUUUCUUUAUUCUUUUUAGUCAUAACUAAAAGCCAGGGUCCACUUUUGUUAGUACUUGCAUACACUGUUAAGACAUCUCAUUAGCAUUGGUGAAACUUAUGGCGUGUAAGAUCCGAUUUUUUUCCCAGUUUUUUCCAGCAUUUGGAACUAGAAUUUCACCUUGUGAGCCACGUGAGAGAAUUCAGAUUUGUUGUCUGUUCAGUGUAAACUGAAUCUGAUUUAGGGUAUAAUAUAGGUGCCACUGACAUCAGGGGAGCGGGGGAAUCAGUUAUUGAUGAACUGGAUAUGGCAGCCAUUAUUUCACUCGUGUCAUUAAGGAAUUGGUCCAGAGUAAUUUCAAUUUAGGAGGAACUGCUUUUGCCUUUUAAAUUAGUGUGGAAUUCAUGUACUGGGUUUGAUGAAACCUAUAAUAUUUCCCCUUGUUACCAAGUGAGAGAAUUCCAAUGGAAAAACAGUAGAGAAAACUGGAGUUCCACCAUAAUCACCAAGGAGUUGUAUUCUACUAAGCUCAAGAGUAACCCUUUGAAAUUAAAGGACCUAAGUUAAUCAUAUCUAUUAAUUUCAGUGGGUUUAUUCUGAGUCGGGCUAGCAUUGGAUACAAUCCAAGAGUCCAAUCUAGUAAUGUUGACACAAAUGGGAAAAUAUCCAUUGGGGCAUAUUCUGGAACUGUUGCAAUGGGAACAGAUUUAUCCUUGCAAGUAAAAAAAUCAAUCUUUCUAAAGUUCUUCCACAAUCUUCCACAUUUCUAAACAAUUCCAGAACACAACCAACUAAGAAGGAUUUGCUGAGAGCCUCACUGGGUGAGAAGGUAUUCUCUUCAGGAGGGCAUCCGAGUUUAGAUUGGGGGAGUUAAUCUUUUGGCCCCAUACCAAGUCUGUGAUGGAAACAACCCCCUUCCCAAAGCUGCAUUGAGUUGUGCAUUUCAUCAGUGGCUAAUAGCAGCUUUGGGAGGGAGGGUUCGAAUUUGUCUCAAGGAAUCUUCGCAGGGAGCAAAGGGUUAAAUCCCCCCUGCACCACAGGCCUGGUCCAAAUCGGAGCUGCUUUUACCUCCAGCCAUGGGAUUUUUGCAUCCCAAACUGUUUUGGCCUUUCAUUUGACAAGUCUGCAGCUGUCUGGGCUUAAAGAGAAAUGUGAGGUUGUUUGCCUUCUGUCAAAAUGGAUCUGCACUUCUUUGGGGGGAAACAUUCAUUUUAACUGUUUCGGUGCUUAUAUAAUGACCUUUUCUGCAUGGAGUUGCAAAUGAAUUUUUCCUUCCCCAUCUGAACUCUGCUAUUCCUUUCCACCCCAUCCUGAACCUUGGUUCCAUUUCAGCACCACUUCAAGGGUCAAACAGCUCUCUGCUGCUGAGCAGCUUUUGCCAACCUGGUGCCCUCCCACUGUUUUGGACUAUGACUCCCAGAACAGCAGGAGGGCAAAAGGUUGGCAAAGAUGGCUACAGACUUUAAAAUAACCAUUUUUAAUGCAGUUCCCAGAUUCCCUAGGGAGAAGGUGCUUGUCGUGCCCUUUUCCUAGGGAAUAAUGGGGCUAUUCUACAAGUAGGAACUCUCUCAGCACCUUCACAAUACUGCAGAAUAAAACUGGGGGUGGGAGAACGGUUAUGGCAGUUAAAUUGGCAUAAGUUUGCAGUGAAGGUGCCUCCUCCAGAUGUGCAAUGGAGAAUGCAAACUCUUUAGCUUAGCUGAAUCCAGCAAUUUAUUCCAUCAUAUAUUCGGGCACGUAUUGGAGGGCUGUUGUGGACUUCGAUUUUCUUUUUCAACGUGGUGCAGGAUAUAUAUUCUCCACCUGUAAACAGUUCUGUCUUACCUUGGACCAUUCUUGUCUCAGUUUCUGGUGUUGCUUUUUUUGUCAUAGGAAAUCAGUCCUUGGAAGCAGGUCAUGCAUUCCAUCCAGGGUUUGGGUUUUAUUUUAUCAGUUGUUACCUGGUUUCCCCCAACCUCUUUCUUUCUUCCUCUCUCUCGCUCUGUAAAAACCCGAGAGAGGAAGACAGAGAAGCUAAGAAAUGUUAACCCAUCCAUAAAGAGAAGAAGAUGAUUACUAGUUAGACUCAGUGUCUUGAGUUCGGAGGCAUAUAGUAAAGAGAAGAUUUUUUAAAAGUUAAAAAAAGAAAAGAAAAGAAUGAUGUUGCACAACUUGUAGGAAAACAAAGAAGGGAAAGGGUUAUUGUAUUAAAUGUGCUAAAUUACAUUAAGAACUUAAUUUUAUUAAAGUAUUAUUACUU